rnacentral:pre_miRNA from 1 species
UCUUAUGGAUAAGAAAAGAAAGUGGUUUCUUGAGGUGGAAACUACUCCUGUUGAAGGUGCUCUGAGAA